rnacentral:rRNA from 1 species
GCAUUAUGUGCCCUUCGGGGAAAGUUGAGACAGGUGGUGCAUGGUUGUCGUCAGCUCGUGUCGUGAGAUGUUGGGUUAAGUCCCGCAACGAGCGCAACCCUUGUGAUUAGUUGCUACGCAAGAGCACUCUAAUCAGACUGCCGUUGACAAAACGGAGGAAGGUGGGGACGACGUCAAAUCAUCAUGCCCUUUAUGACCUGGGCUACACACGUACUACAAUGGCGCGCACAAAGGGGAGCGAGACCGCGAGGUGGAGCCAAUCCCAAAAAACGCGUCCCAGUCCGGAUUGCAGUCUGCAACUCGACUGCAUGAAGUUGGAAUCGCUAGUAAUUCGAGAUCAGCAUGCUCGGGUGAAUGCGUUCCCGGGCCUU